GGGUAUAUAGCUCAGUGGAGGAGUGCAUGCUUAGCAUGCACAAGGUCCUGGGUUUGAUCCCCAGUACCUCCA
rnacentral:tRNA from 1 species